rnacentral:rRNA from 1 species
GAUGAACGCCGGCGGCGUGCCUAAUACAUGCAAGUCGAGCGAACAGACGAGGAGCUUGCUCCUCUGACGUUAGCGGCGGACGGGUGAGUAACACGUGGAUAACCUACCUAUAAGACUGGGAUAACUUCGGGAAACCGGAGCUAAUACCGGAUAAUAUAUUGAACCGCAUGGUUCAAUAGUGAAAGACGGUUUUGCUGUCACUUAUAGAUGGAUCCGCGCCGCAUUAGCUAGUUGGUAAGGUAACGGCUUACCAAGGCAACGAUGCGUAGCCGACCUGAGAGGGUGAUCGGCCACACUGGAACUGAGACACGGUCCAGACUCCUAAGGGAGGCAGCAGUAGGGAAUCUUCCGCAAUGGGCGAAAGCCUGACGGAGCAACGCCGCGUGAGUGAUGAAGGUCUUCGGAUCGUAAAACUCUGUUAUUAGGGAAGAACAAAUGUGUAAGUAACUAUGCACGUCUUGACGGUACCUAAUCAGAAAGCCACGGCUAACUACGUG